UCAGAUUCGUGGAAAUUAACCUGCCCACGACGCAAUACAGGUUUAAACCAACCGGCUUGUUCGUUAAUUGCUACAGCCCCUAUCCGGCCUAUUGUUAACUUCAAUCAAGCUAGACACAAGAACCAGGCAGAUCCUGAUAAUGUAUGUUAUUAUAGCAGUGAGUCUAUUAACCAUAUCAAAAAAGUCAGAUGUUACAGAGUUCUGUUAAAAGAUCAGUCCAUCUCUCUCUUUUAAUUUGGUUCGAAUUAUAAUGGCGGUGCAUCCAAGCUGACUAUCGAGUCUAGAGAACCAUUUGAUU
rnacentral:lncRNA from 1 species